AGGCUCGUGAUGAAAUGGUAUCAUAGCGGUCUCCAAAACCGCUCUUUCAGGUUCGAAUCCUGACGGGCCUG
rfam:Microgenomates (Woesebacteria) bacterium GW2011_GWA1_41_13b TT42_C0001, whole genome shotgun sequence.